GAAGCUCAUAGCGAUGUGAAUCUUAUCUCAGUCUGCUAAGGUGCCCAAUGAAUUUACAAGUGGCUGUUGGGGGUGGAAAACAUAGCACACAAGUCCAUAUGUUGUAACCUUACGUGGUGUACGCUAAGUGUCACCAGGCGUUUUCAAACGUUUCUCAUGCCAUAAAAAAGGUGUGCGAGCUGAAAGAGCGAGCGUGCACUAUAAAUAAACUUAAACUUUUAAGCACGACUGCAAACGGUGGAUCACUCGGUUCGCAGGUCGAUGAAGAACGCAGCAAACUGCGUUAAGCGGUGUGAAUUGCAGGACACGCCGAGCACUUGAUUUUCGAACGCAUAUUGCGGCCUCGAGUCUUUCUCGGGGCUUCGUCUGUCUGAGGGUCGGUAAAAGAAACUUAUGCUAAGAGCUGACACUCGAGGAGAGCCUUUACUUGCGCGCACUCUUCGUUCAGCUGCAAAGUAUGCACAAUGUGACACGCGGAUUGCGAAUGCAACGCUACGCAAGUUGCGCUAUUUCGCUGGUCAGCUAGUGUUCACUGGUGCUAGUGUUUCGGUGCUGCUUCGUCAGUACCAACCAAACCUUUCCAACUUCGACCUCAGAUCAGGCGAGAUUACCCGCUGAAUUUAA
rnacentral:misc_RNA from 1 species